AUUUAUUUAUUUUAAAUCGAAAAGCGAAAACCGACUGCAGCUCUAGAACCUCGCUCCAAAUAUAGUCACUGGUGAGGCGAGAGGUGGGAACUUUGCAAGAGAUAAAAAAAAUUAAAAUUCUCCAAAAAUGAAUAAAGGUUCAUCAUCAAUGGCGAAAGAUCAGUCAAUCUCAGUUUCAGAAGCAGUACACAAGAUUCAACUCCAUCUCCUUGACGGAAUCCGAGACGAGAAACAACUAAUCUCCUCUGGUUCCUUAAUUUCUCGAAGCGACUAUGAGGAUGUCAUAACCGAGAGGUCGAUUUCCAACACUUGCGGUUACCCUCUCUGCCAAAACCCUUUACCUUCCGAACCCCGUCGAAGAGGCCGUUAUCGAAUCUCUUUGAAAGAGCACCGAGUUUACGAUUUACAAGAAACCAGCCGCUUUUGCCUCGCCGAUUGCCUGAUUAAUAGCCGAGCUUUCGCUGGGAGUUUACAAGAAGAGAGGUGUUCCGUUUUGAAUCAUGCGAAACUUAAUGCGAUUUUGAGUUUAUUUGAUGACGUGGAUUUGAACGAUAAGGAUUUGGGGAAGAAUGGGGAUUUAGGGUUUUCGAAUUUGAAGAUUAAAGAAAAUGAGGAAAUAAAAGCUGGGGAAAUUUCUUCGGUGGGUCCUUCCAAUGCUAUUGAAGGCUAUGUUCCACAAAGAGAAUUGGUUUCUAAGCCUUCAUCUUCUAAGAACAGCAAAAAUGGAGUGUUUGAUUCUAGCAGUUCCAAGCUGGGUGAUAUCAAAGGAGAUUAUUUUGUCAAUAAUGAGAUAGAUUUUACUAGUGCCGUAAUUAUGAACAAUGAAUACACCACUUCUAAGAAUCCCGGUAGUCUUAGACAGAGUCAAAGAACGAAGCCGAGUAGUAUGAAAGAUGUGAUUAAUGAGAUGGACUUUACUAGUGAAAUAAUCAUGAAUGAUGAAUAUACUGUUUCCAAGACACCCCCGGGGUCAAGACAGGGUUCUUCUGGUUCGAAAUUGGAAAAAACAGAAGGGAAAGGAGUUUGUAAAGACUUCGAAGAAAAAUGUAUGAGAUCAGAAUCCUCCUCUGCUUUGACGAAAGAGGAUUCUGGCAUUGUACAAAUGCCUUCAACUAAAUGUGUCGAUCAGAGUGGUUUGGAUACAAUUAAUGCUGAAGCAGAGAAGGAAACCCAUUCUGACAAGGCCAUGGCAUCAAGUGGGGUUGUGCUUAAAUCCUCUCUUAAACCUGCUGGAGCAAAGAAACUUAAUCGCUCAGUUACUUGGGCUGAUAAAAAAAAUGUUGAUAGUGCUCGGAAAGGGAGUCUUUGUGAAGUUAAAGAAAUGGAUGCACAGAAAGGAGAUUCUGAAAAUAUUGGCAGAGCAGAAGAUGGUGAUGCUGAUGAUAAAAUGUUACGAUUUGCAUCCGCAGAAGCUUGUGCUAUGGCUUUGAGCAAGGCAGCGGCAGCGGCAGCUGUGGCAUCUGGAGAUUCUGAUGUCAAUGAUGCUGUUUCUGAAGCUGGGCUGAUCAUAUUGCCACAUCCACUUGAGGCGGACAAGGAGGAGAAAGUGGAGAAUAUUGAUACCCUUGAAGCAGAUCCUGAACCAGAAGAAGGCCCUGUAAAGUGGCCAACAAAACCUGGGAUUCCACGCUCUGAUUUUUUUGACCCAGAGGACUCGUGGUUUGAUGCUCCCCCUGAGGGUUUCAGUUUAACUCUGUCAACUUUUGCAACAAUGUGGAAUGCGCUUUUUGAAUGGAUAACAUCAUCUUCUUUGGCUUAUAUAUAUGGGAGAGAUGAAACUUUCCAUGAAGAGUACCUGUCAGUUAAUGGGAGGGAGUAUCCGCAGAAGAUUGUCUUACGAGAUGGUCGUUCUUCUGAAAUUAAAGAAACUCUUGCUGGUUGUAUUUCUCGUGCUUUACCUGCUAUUGUUACUGCUCUCAGACUGCCUAUACCGAUAUCUACUUUGGAGCAGGGAAUGGGCCGCCUGCUAGAUACAAUGUCUUUUGUGGAAGCACUUCCAGCAUUCAGAAUGAAACAGUGGCAAGUACUUGUUCUUCUAUUAAUUGACGCCCUUUCAGUUUGUAGAAUACCAGCCCUCACUCCACACAUGACUAAUGGGAGGAUGCUUCUUCACAAGGUGCUGGAUGGUGCCCAGAUAAGUUUGGAAGAAUAUGAGGUUAUGAAGGAUCUAAUAAUACCACUUGGCCGAGCACCUCACUUUUCUGCACAGAGUGGAGCUUGAGUGGUGUGAUUUGUAGUCAUUGUGGAAAUUCUGUUUCCUUAUGAUUAGUAUCUACUGAGAAGUUGCAAAAUCUGAUGAUCGCCAAUGGAAUCAUCUCAAAGGUGCACAUGUUUUGCUUGGAGUGAAGGAACUAUACGUGCUAACAAAUUCGGCUCAUUGUUGAUUACGGAGUUGAUUGUUCAAAUUUAAUCGAAUUUCGAUGCUUGUAAAGUGAAAGGUAUUUCUUGUUCAAAAACAAAAACUGAAUUACAAAUGCAAAUGCAGAUACAGUUUAUAUAUAUGUUUGUUGAGGAUGUUGCGUAUAGUUUAGAUGUAUCAAAUUACCCAUGGUUUUUGGAGAUAAAUUGGGUGAUAUUAUGACUUUACUUUUGUUGAAAUAAACUAUUUUGGACUUAAAA